AAAAAAACAGUAGAACAACUAAACAUUCUAACGCACUAGGAUAUAACAAACUGCAUCCUUUCAUAAGAGAAACAUUUGAGCUGUAAAGGUAGCAUCAUACAAGUCAUGUUGAAUGAAAUUAUGGCAAAUGUGAUUCAUUCAAUGACCAACAAUAGCCAUGCAUUAAUUCAAAUAAUUCACAGUCAACAACCAUUUGCAUCGUUAAUCCCUGAUAGGCACCAUGAUAAUUUAAUUUUUACCAUGAACUUCCGUUUCAAAGUAAACCAAAUUUAGUCACAAGUGUUUGACUAUUCUUCGAAGCAGCAGCACAACAACGUAGAAGUCAAUCCAUGCAUAUAUUCAAGAAUUUAAUAAAAGGGAAAAAAUCUUUAUGUAUUUUGAUGGAUAAUAAUGGAAUCAAUAUAUAAUUACAACAUAUCUAUUCACACCAAUUAAGACAUUAAGUACUUGCGCAAAUUACAAACAUGAAACUCAUUAUAAAAGCUAAUACUAUGUUACAAUGCCAAAAUCAACAGCACCGUGUUCAAGAAGCAACCAUAGUAAAGAAACAAAAACAACCCUUUAAAUUCAUCAAACAUAUAUAUAAUUUCAGCACAUGAAUAGGAGCCAAUGCCUUGCAAUUCACUGCAUCAUAAACGCCACAAUAGAAGCCAACAGAGAAGAACACAAGGUCACCCCAGAAACAGACAAAGCAAACCCUUCUCCAGUCUCCAUUUGUGAAGUAGGAGCUAUCUCUGAUUGUGCCACAGUUUUGGUCACGUAAAACGUGCUCAAAACCAUUGCUGCAAUAAAAAAAUGAGCUACACAGCCAGCAAGUUUUGCCAUCUUUUCACAGAAUAUCUUAUAUUUGUUACUUUGAAAAUGUGACCAAUAUAAAGUGAUGACUGAAAAUUAAAGAUUGAACUGGUUUGGAAUUGAGUUGUUCAAUGACACAGGAUCAAGAGUGGAGUUUAUAUAGAAUUCGUUAGGGGUAUAUGUUAAAAAGAAAAAGGC
rnacentral:lncRNA from 1 species